ACACCACCUCCUCCCCCUCCUUCCACCCCCAUGCAAACAAAAGUGAAGCCUGGCUUCCCAUUGAACAACUGACUGAUAUGCAAAGGAGGAUUUCCUGGCUUUCUUGAGAGCAUCCACUUUACCAGGCAGACCGCGCUGUGACACAUAGCUCAGUCCAGCCAAAAACUGCAGCCCACUUCAGCAGGCAGACUGAACCCUGGGGAGGAAAACUUUCACGGCGGCUGUGUGUUUCACCUCACUCAUAUGAGCGACCGGAGGAAAACAAUUUAUCAUUUCAUUAGCAGAGCAUUUCAGUUUCCCUCUAACCUUGACCCAGCUACAGAAGCAGCUCCUAUCGAUACAAAAAGAGAAACACAGGGCUUGUGAUAUACUGUGACCUCUCACCCCAGAGCCAGAUCCUACCCAUGAUUCAGCUGGAGGCCUUGUCUUGCCUGGUUUAUCGCCCGUAGUGAAGGAUAACAUUCGGGAAGCUGCGACCCCACAGCGAAGUCACUGGUGAGGUCAUCACUGAGGUCUUGUGCCCACUUGACCAUAAAAUCAAUCAGGAUUUAUCAUCUGAGUUUUGGGUCUGGUCAAACUGUUAUGGAAGUGAUCUUACUUCCACUUCCACUUACUUUUAUACCUUAUGGUGAGCUCACAUGCAGGGAAACAUAAAGACACAUUCUGUACACGAAUAUAGGCAAGGCUUCUGGUUACCCAUAUGAUUAGAUAAGAUCAACUUUAUUGAUCCCCUCGCACGGAAAUUGGAGAAACAGAUCAUACUGAGCAUACGGAUGGUUGGCAAAGGAGUGUAUUAUACAACAUGUUCGAGAAAUUCUUGUGGUUGUUUUGAUACUUUUUUCUUUCCACAAUGAAAGCUUGUCAACAUAGGAAUCUGCUUUAACAGAAUGAAUUCAAGCUGCUGUUGUCUGUCUGCUAGGAAACUACAAACUUUUAACAGCCACCUUUGAAGCCUAAAGGGAGUGAGAGUUUGGUACAUUGUACUUGUGGCAUUUUGUUUGCUGUCUUGUCAUUGCUUUCAUAUGAACAAACACUUGUUAUUGGGAUU